rnacentral:ncRNA from 1 species
AUACUCAGGAGAGUCUCUCCUGCAGAAACGCACCGGACAGACGGCUGCGGGCAUCUGCUGGAGGGCGCCGAAGGUGUAAGCGGUAUUUGGCGGAGAGAUCCGCCAGAGAUACCGUGAGUCUCUCAGGCAAAAGGAUGGAGGUAUAA